GAUGAACGCUGGCGGCGUGCCUAACACAUGCAAGUCGAACGGGAAUCUUCGGAUUCUAGUGGCGGACGGGUGAGUAACGCGUAAGAAUCUAACUUCAGGACGGGGACAACAGUUGGAAACGACUGCUAAUACCCGAUAUGCCGCAAGGUGAAACCUAAUUGGCCUGAAGAAGAGCUUGCGUCUGAUUAGCUAGUUGGUGGGGUAAAAGCCUACCAAGGCGACGAUCAGUAGCUGGUCUGAGAGGAUGAGCAGCCACACUGGGACUGAGACACGGCCCAGACUCCUACGGGAGGCAGCAGUGGGGAAUUUUCCGCAAUGGGCGAAAGCCUGACGGAGCAACGCCGCGUGAGGGAGGAAGGUCUUUGGAUUGUAAACCUCUUUUCCCAAGGAAGAAGUUCUGACGGUACUUGAGGAAUCAGCCUCGGCUAACUCCGUGCCAGCCGCCGCGGUAA
rnacentral:rRNA from 1 species